GCCUGCACCGUAAUCGGAAGAUACGAAGACAAAGGUUGAAGAAGCCAUCUACAGUCUUGAAGGAAUAAGUUCACUGGAAGAAGUUCAUUAAUAUGUUCAUGCCUCAGUGAAGAAUAAAGAUUGAAGUAUUCAAGAUUGUGGAAGCAAUGAAGAUGUUGUCCAAGCGUACUCGAAAGAUUUCAGUGCAACCCAUGAAGCAAGAUAUUUCUAUAUAUCUUGGUUGGUUAUUUAUAAUCAACAAACUGAAGCAUAAACUAACCCGGAACCGGCUGAUCAAUGGUUGCUGACAAAGACGGUACAAUGUUCAACUUCAGUGUUAGUCGCUUGUGAACCAGACCAGUGCACUAAGCGUCAGCACGUACG
rnacentral:lncRNA from 1 species